UACGGAGGGAGCUAGCGUUGUUCGGAAUUACUGGGCGUAAAGCGCACGUAGGCGGCUUGGCAAGUCGGAUGUGAAAUCCCUCGGCUCAACCAAGGAAGUGCAUCCGAAACUGCUGAGCUUGAGUACUUAAGAGGAUCGCGGAAUUCCCGGUGUAGAGGUGAAAUUCGUAGAUAUCGGGAGGAACACCAGUGGCGAAGGCGGCGAUCUGGGAAGAUACUGACGCUGAGGUGCGAAAGCGUGGGGAGCAAACAGG
rnacentral:rRNA from 1 species